CAGCCGCCGCGGGAAUACGAAGGGUGCAAGCGUUAAUCGGAAUUACUGGGCGUAAAGCGUGCGUAGGCGGGUUGUUAAGUCUGCUGUGAAAUCCCCGGGCUCAACCUGGGAAUGGCAGUGGAUACUGGCAAGCUAGAGUGUGGUAGAGGAUAGUGGAAUUUCCGGUGUAGCAGUGAAAUGUGUAGAGAUCGGAAGGAACAUCUGUGGCGAAGGCGACUAUCUGGGCCAACACUGACACUGAGGCACGAAAGCGUGGGGAGCAAACAGGAUUAGAUACCCCAGUAGUCCCUGUCUCUUAUAC
rnacentral:rRNA from 1 species